GCUAACGUAGCUUAAUUCACAAAGCAUAAUGUUGAAGCCGUUAAGAUGAGCCUUAAAUGGACUCCGAUAGCA
rnacentral:tRNA from 1 species